AAUGGGUGUAUGCCCAUUUCUAGGGCCCAAUGUCUCUGGUCUAUGAUUCAGAAUGGGGGUAAUAUUGAAUCUGGGGGUGUAGAUGGUAUUGAGGUUUGUAGGGUAUAUUGAGUAAGGUGAAUUUUAUAGGGAUCAAGUUCUUUAGGUUCAAACAGAUCAUAUUCUAAUUCAUCUCACCGGACCUCCUCCGUCUCCUCCGCACCAGAAAUCGCCUCCAGAGGCGUGGAGGUCGUGCUUCCACCAAAGUCACAUCACUGAGAUCAUCUUCCUCGACACAAUCUCGAUAUGACUUUGAUUUUCAACAAUUCUCAUUCACUGCUUUAAAUCUAAGCCAAAUAACAAAUAAACCUAAGUUUCACAUCCUAAAUUAAACAGUGAUUACGCACAAAUUCGGUCCUAAAGCUUAGGGCUAAGGCUCCUUAGAGUGGAUUCUACAUGAUGAUAACAAGAUUAGGACAAGAAGAGAUAAAAUGGAAUACCUCCGAAGCGGAGAUUUGCUUCGGUGAAUAGUUGAAAAGAAGAAGAUGAUUACGGAGAGAUGGAUACUCUUGAAUCAGGUUGGUAUGUGUAAAGGAUGGCAAGGCAUGGCAUGGCCAAUCAAGGCAUGGCUUGAAGAAACUUACACAUGAAGUAAUCUUGGCAUGUGAAGUCAAGGGAGAAGAUGGUACAAUGAAAAAUCAAAGUGAAACUUAGGGUUAGGUUGAUGGAUUAGGUGAGUUGACUUUGGUCAAUUGGUUGACCAAAAAGUCAAUAGUUUACCAAAGUCAACUGUAGGUCAAAGUCAAUUUUUUUGUAAUUUUUGUAUGGAUUCUUGUAAGUGGUAUUGUACAAAUGAAAUGGACUAUCUUGGAUGAAAACAACCCUUUUGAUUCAAGAACUUUGAAUGAAUCAUGGACUUUGAAUGAGAACCAUGAGACUUGAACAAA